rnacentral:rRNA from 1 species
UACGAAGGGGGCUAGCGUUGCUCGGAAUCACUGGGCGUAAAGCGCACGUAGGCGGCUUUCUAAGUCAGGGGUGAAAUCCUGGAGCUCAACUCCAGAACUGCCUUUGAUACUGGAGAGCUUGAGUCCGGGAGAGGUGAGUGGAACUCCGAGUGUAGAGGUGAAAUUCGUAGAUAUUCGGAAGAACACCAGUGGCGAAGGCGGCUCACUGGCCCGGUACUGACGCUGAGACACGAAAGCGUGGGGAGCAAACAGG